UUCCACUCUGUGCUACUUAUGACAGAGCGAUGAAUUUGAACGGCUUGUCAACCAGAAAGAAGAAGGGUUUCUACUGAAAAUGUGUUUUGCACGGACCUGGAGCCUUUUAGCGAAAGCAAGUAGUGAAAUUUACCGAUUACCCUGGAGAGUAAAAAUGGCUAUAUUUCUACUCGACAAACCUAAAUAACUAUGGCGUCUUGGAAUGAAGAAAAUCUAUGCUAUGGAUACAAACAUGCAUUUUAUGGAUGAAUCUUAUUCACACCUAUUCUAACUGAGUGCCUUUGAAUGUGUGCUUUUUGAAACUAUGCUAUAGAACCUUGUGAAGGUGUGUGUUUUAUUUUCGUAUGUUUACUUCUGAGUGAUUAUGCUAUGUAUUAUUUACAAAAUAAAAGUGAAAGUGAGUGGUUUUCAA